rnacentral:misc_RNA from 1 species
GAUUCAAGAAGCGGAGUGCGUUAGAGCUCCGGUAUCCUCUUCUUCAUUCCGCGCCGCUGCUGCCUCCACAGAGCUGUUCUAAUGACAAUAGUACCAUGUGGAGGUUCCUGUGUGCCUCAAUUGGGAGUUCGACCUCGCAUAACUCUUAGAUGUUCGCCUCCAGGAGUAAAAGCAUGCUGUGUCACUGACAAGUACCAUGCGGCACAUUUUUGUAUUCCAAGCAAGGAGAAUUGUCUGUCAGCAUCAAGUGCAAGUUUCUUUGGACAGAUCUCUUCAUCUACCCUAUAUAUCGCUGGAAGAUCUCAAACUACUUCCCG